rnacentral:rRNA from 1 species
UACGGGGGUGGCGAGCGUUACUCGGAUUCAUUGGGUGUAAAGGGCAGGUAGGCGGUUAUGUAAGUUAGAGGUGAAAUCCUAAGGCUCAACCUUAGAACUGCCUCUAAUACUGCAUGACUUGAGGCCAGAAGAGGAGAGCGGAAUUCCCGGUGUAAGGGUGAAAUCUGUAGAUAUCGGGAGGAACACCAGUGGCGAAAGCGGCUCUCUGGUCUGGCCCUGACGCUAAGCUGCGAAAGCUAGGGGAGCAAACAGGAUUAGAAACCCCGGUAGUC